rnacentral:rRNA from 1 species
GACGAACGCUGGCGGCGUGCCUAAUACAUGCAAGUUGAGCGAUGAAGCUUGGUGCUUGCCCCAAUUUGAAGAGCAGCGAACGGGUGAGUAACGCGUGGGGAAUCUGCCUUUGAGCGGGGGGCAACAUUUGGAAACGAAUGCUAAUACCGCAUAACAACUUUAAACAUAAGUUUUAAGUUUGAAAGAUGCAAUUGCAUCACUCAAAGAUGAUCCCGCGUUGUAUUAGCUAGUUGGUGAGGUAAAGGCUCACCAAGGCGAUGAUACAUAGCCGACCUGAGAGGGUGAUCGGCCACAUUGGGACUGAGACACGGCCCAAACGCCUACGGGAGGCAGCAGUAGGGAAUCGUCGGGAAUGGACGAAAGUCUGACCGAGCAACGCCGCGGGAGUGAAGAAGGUUUUCGGAUCGUAAAACUCUGUUGGUAGAGAAGAACGUUGGUGAGAGUGGAAAGCUCAUCAAGUGACGGUAACUACCCAGAAAGGGACGGCUAACUACGUG